GCCUGGUAGCCACAGUUGCAGGUUGGGCUGGAAUAAUUGUUCCUUCUCUUGAUGUGUCCUUGUUCUCAGGUCAGGUUGAUAUGGCUAGGCGGCCUGCUGGCGAGAUAGUGGGAGUGGGCGGCCCGCCCCUCAGGACCUCUGACCUGGACAGAUGACUGGAUGACUCUCUGGGGCAGCAUUCACCGGAACUCAUAUGGAGAGGACUGCCUGAGAAACCAACCUGUGUGCCUGGGUCAGGUUGAUAUGGCUAGGCGGCCUGCUGGCGAGAUAGUGGGAGUGGGCGGUCCGCCCCUCAGGACCUCUGAUUUGGACAGAUGACUGGAUGACUCUCUGGGGCAGCAUUCACCGGAACUCAUAUGGAGGGGACUGCCUGAGAAACCAACCUGUGUGCCUGGGUCAGGUUGAUAUGGCUAGGCGGCCUGCUGGCGAGAUAGUGGGAGUGGGCGGUCCGCCCCUCAGGACCUCUGACUUGGACAGAUGACUGGAUGACUCUCUGGGGCAGCAUUCACCGGAACUCAUAUGGAGGGGGCUGCCUGAGAAACCAACCUGUGUGCCUGGGUCAGGUUGAUAUGGCUAGGCGGCCUGCUGGCGAGAUAGUGGGAGUGGGCGGUCCGCCCCUCAGGACCUCUGACUUGGACAGAUGACUGGAUGACUCUCUGGGGCAGCAUUCACCGGAACUCAUAUGGAGGGGGCUGCCUGAGAAACCAACCUGUGUGCCUGG
rnacentral:lncRNA from 1 species